GUAGCAUAAUCAUUUGUCUUUUAAUUGAAGGCUUGUAUGAAGGAUCGGACAAAGUGACUACUGUCUUUUGUUAAUAAAUUGAAUUUAACUUUAAAGUGAAAAGGCUUUAAUGAUUUAAGGGGACGAUAAGACCCUAUAAAGCUUCAUACGAUCUUUCUUUUUAUAAAUUUAUAAGUUUGACUGUAAAAGGAAUUGAGUUGUGUUUUGUUGGGGUGACAAUAGUAUAAAUUUAAGUAACUGCUUGUAUAUAAGACAUGGAUAGAUGGAAUUUAUUGAUCCUUAAUAAAGAUUAACAGAAUAAGUUACUUUAGGGAUAACAGCGUUAUUUUUCUUGAGAGUUCUUAUCGAAAGAAAAGAUUGCGACCUCGAUGUUGAAUUAAAAUUUCUUUAUAGUGCAGAAGUUAUAAGAGUGGGUCUGUUCGACCUUUAAAAUUUUACAUGAUUUGA
rnacentral:rRNA from 1 species